UGCCUGGCCGCCCAUCGUCUGGGAUGUGAGGAGCCUCUCUGCCUGGCUGCCCAGUCUGGAAAGUGAGGAGCGUCUGCGCCCGGCCGCCAUCCCAUCUAGGAAGUGAGGAGCGUCUCUGCCCGGCCGCCCCGUCUGAGAAGUGAGGAGACCCUCUGCCUGGCAACCACCCCGUCUGAGAAGUGAGGAGACCCUCCGACCGGCAGCUGCCCCGUCUGAGAAGUGAGGAGCCUCUCCACCCGG
rnacentral:lncRNA from 1 species